AUUGAACGCUGGCGGAAUGCUUUACACAUGCAAGUCGAACGGUAGAGGGGGCAACCCCUCGAGAGUGGCGAACGGGUGAGUAAUAUAUCGGAACGUGCCCAGUCGUGGGGGAUAACGUAGCGAAAGUUACGCUAAUACCGCAUACGAUCUAAGGAUGAAAGCGGGGGAUCGCAAGACCUCGCGCGAUUGGAGCGGCCGAUAUCAGAUUAGGUAGUUGGUGGGGUAAAGGCUCACCAAGCCAACGAUCUGUAGCUGGUCUGAGAGGACGACCAGCCACACUGGAACUGAGACACGGUCCAGACUCCUACGGGAGGCAGCAGUGGGGAAUUUUGGACAAUGGACGCAAGUCUGAUCCAGCCAUUCCGCGUGCAGGAUGAAGGCCCUCGGGUUGUAAACUGCUUUUGUACGGAACGAAAAGGUCUCUCUUAAUACGGGGGGCUCAUGACGGUACCGUAAGAAUAAGCACCGGCUAACUACGUGCCAGCCGCCGCAGUAAAAC
rnacentral:rRNA from 1 species